UGGUAUAGCUCAGCAGGUAGAGCGCAUCCUUGGUAAGGAUGAGGUCACCGGUUCAAAUCCGGUUAUCA
rnacentral:tRNA from 2 species